ACAAACCGUUUCAUGGUAGCCCACGAGGCCACGACCCGGUGUCCCCACUCCCCAGUUCCUCAACAGCUCGUGAGUGUUGAGCGGCAGUUUUGACGGUGAAUGGCGAGCGGCACCUGGCUUGGUGGUCGGCGGCAUGAUGCUCAGCGGGUUAGAUCGGCGAGAAUGGAUUCAGACGCGAAGCAUUUUGAGCAGGCGUGUGGCCUCGAUGUCGGGGCAGCGCAGCAGGUGGUGGUCGCGGCGGCGCUGCAAGUGGUGGUCGCGACCGCACUGCUAGCGGUGGUCACGGCGGCGUUGGUUCGACCACGGUCGCCACGGACUGCAGAAGGACGAGCAUCCCGCGCCGCCACCGGUAUUUAAGUGUCCUCCGUAAUUCCCUUUGGAUCUCAUUCUGUGCUGCCUCAUUUCUUGCCCACGAGGUGUUUGUUUUAAUGCCUGAAUGGGAACUGCUACUGACAAUGUGCUCAAAGAAGACUCUUAACAGUGAUAUAUUGAUAGGAACACUCCAUUUUUUCCAUUGGUGGGUGGUCAUCGAUUCGCAGUAGGCCAACUAGUCAUGCAACAUCGCUAGUGGUCCUCAGUGUCAGGUUUCGUUGACCGUUGGCUUGCUUAUUCAUGUGCUUUGCAUCUCCUCCCUGCAAGAUGGUCAGUAACCAGGUCUUCGCCGAUAGAGCUCUCCAGUGUCGCCCCCUCCCCAUAAAUUUGUAGGAGUAUAUGUCUAUUUAUCCGCCCAAUAUGGUUAUAUUUAUUAAAGAAGUUUAGUUAUCUGCCCAUAAGUCUGAAUCUUUAUUGACUUGUGGCUUCUUUGCUAUGGUUGAUUUUUUGUUAUUACUAGCACGUUCUAAUAUGGACUGUCGCCUUGUGUCCCCUUGAUAACUGAUUGAAACUCCCAUCUAAAAAUUAGCAUGUACGGUAUUAUUUGUUAUGUUCCUUCAAAAAAAAAAAUGUUCAGUACAAAUUUCAUCAUGGAUGUAAAUUAUCUUGUCAAGCUUUGAAGCUCAUAAUCUUAGAGAUUUAUGUUUACCUCUUUAGGAGGAGAUAUCACAAGUUUAAGGUUCCAUUUGUUCUUUGACAAUUUUCUCAUUUUGACCAUAUUACAUAAUUCUACUAGUUUCUGUUCACUUUGGUUCACUACUUCAUUCAGAUUCACAUAUUACAGUCUGUAGAACCUUUAUUUUUCAGUCCCUUUUUAAUGUGAUGUUCUAAUCCAAAUUAAUGUUCUGCAGACAAAGGCUAAUCAGUACAGUGAUAAAGUUCUCUCCUAUAUCUUGUUCCAUGAUUUGAAUUAAUGCAAGCCUUUACCUGAUUCAUUGGAGAAAUUCAGGCCAUUAAAAUUACAUAGCUGCUCAUAUGUUAAAAACCCAAAAUGCUCUCUCUUGUGCCUGGUCGUUGUAAUGUACUCCCUCCGUAAACAAAUAUAAGAGCGUUUAGAUCACUACUUUAGUAAUCUAAAUGCUCUUAUAUUAGUUUACAGAGGGAGUACUUGUGUAUGUCUGCUUGGACGCUUAUUUUUACUAUCAAAUGGAUGUAUAUUAGCAAUGAGAACGGCGUCAGUCUUAUGUGUUAUACCUUUACAACAGCACAUCAUGCAUUCCCCCAUUUUGUGAUAUGAAGUUCAGACCAAAAACUUGUCAGGAUUGACUUUAAUCUCAUCCAAAAAUUCGUUCCACAUAGCCAUAAAUGUUCCUGUUAGUUAUCAGUGAAUUUUUUGGAUUAUUCCUAUACGGCUUUACAGAUAAUAGCUUUUUCACCUUUAUGUUCAUGUUUUGAGUUCAAAAUUAUAAUUAACUACAAAUACCCGUGAAAAUUCCAGUA